rnacentral:lncRNA from 1 species
GGGGAUGUCAGUUACAGGUGUUAGAGAAUAUCGGACUGAAGCUGUCUAGAAUUAAUUGCUUAGCAUAACUUGCUUAGCAUUAGUAGCUAAAUUUGCUGAAGCCUUAGGCCUCAGGCUGUGAACUUUUACUUAGAUAAGUAAAAGGGGGCCCCAGAGCUCGUUCAAGCUGGAGGGAUAAAGAAGCUGCACGGACAGCAGGAGUAGCCAACCUUGAAGAUAAGCAGCAGCCUGCCUAGAGACAAUGAAGGGGCCCAAGGAAGAAGGGGAAGAACCCAGACCUGACUAUUACUAUUGGUCCAAACUAUCGCUUAAGGGGUGGGGAAUUUAGAUUGUAAGGGUAUAACUGCCCAGGGAUUUCUUUGUUCGGGGUCCCUCUUUGGAGGCACCCAGCUCGAGCUGUAAUUACCGCACAUGUAUCAUUACAUUUUAUUUCUCUUCAGUCUGACUUCGAACUUCUGCCUCAGCAGGAACCUAGGGUUGGACCCUGUUAUGGAGGCCGGCGAGCCCGAUUUUCCAUAACACAGGAACGUGCCGAGAGGUGCGGUGGCGCGCGCGGGGGCCUUGGCAAGCCACAUGCGGCGCGGGUUCGCGGCCUGCGAUCGCACCUGCCCUCACUCCGUGUGGGACGAGGCAGCCGGGCAGACGUGGGCCAGGGCCAGGGCCAGGCCGGCGUUUUAGGACCGAGUUGCGCUGCAGCGUGUCAUUACUGUGACUUACCAAGAUGCAAGACACCUCUAGCUUCUGCAUCACUUCAAUUUGUGGUUAAGAAUGUCUCAGAGAGAUGAAUGUACAGCCUACAGCACUCCAGGAGUCUGCUAAUAUGACCAAACAUAAGCUAUACAAAUCUCUCAAAAAUACUGUAACUACUGAGAUGGACAUACAAAAGAGCAUUACAUAUGAAGACAACAGAGUAACAAUGAGCUCUCCUGAGAGUAAAGCCCUAUUGGAGUAAAAGCUUCUACCCUAAAAAUCGGAGAUGGUGACCUAAAAAUCAGGCUGACAAACCUGACAUGACAUCACAACAACUAAAGAGCAGAUGGAACGUACACAGUGACGUCAAGCCUACACAGUGGAGGGAUACCAGGAAAGUGUCUCUGUAGGUUAUGAGGAAAAGAAGAGAGAAGACUGCCAAGACUAUAACCAAAGACAUCUUCAGGAUCAGGUGUUUUAUGUCAUUUCUUUCAUCUUUCCUCUCACUCCCCUCCAGACUUGCCUUGUACCUUCAAACAAGCAAUCUGUGAGGGAAAGAAAACAUCCUCAUUUCUAUAGUGGUAUAGAAACUUCUGAAACCUCAGAAGUUUUACUCUACCCUGCAAUAAACAGAAGCAUGCAUGAAGUGGCA